rnacentral:rRNA from 1 species
GUGGGGAAUAUUGGGCAAUGGGCGCAAGCCUGACCCAGCAACGCCGCGUGAGGGAAGAAGGCUUUCGGGUUGUAAACCUCUGUCCUUGGUGACGAAACAAAUGACGGUAGCCAAGGAGGAAGCCCCGGCUAACUACGUGCCAGCAGCCGCGGUAAUACGUAGGGGGCGAGCGUUGUCCGGAAUUACUGGGCGUAAAGGGUGCGUAGGUGGCCUUUUAAGUUGGAUGUGAAAUACCCGGGCUUAACUUGGGGGGUGCAUCUAAUACUGGAGGGCUAGAGUGCAGGAGAGGAAAGCGGAAUUCCUAGUGUAGCGGUGAAAUGCGUAGAUAUUAGGAGGAACACCAGUGGCGAAGGCGGCUUUCUGGACUGUAACUGACACUGAGGCACGAAAGCGUGGGGAGCAAACAGGAUUAGAAACCCCAGUAGUCC